rnacentral:rRNA from 1 species
AUUGAACGCUGGCGGCAUGCUUUACACAUGCAAGUCGAACGGUAACAGGUCUUCGGAUGCUGACGAGUGGCGAACGGGUGAGUAAUGCAUCGGAACGUGCCCAGUCGUGGGGGAUAACGCAGCGAAAGCUGUGCUAAUACCGCAUACGAUCUAUGGAUGAAAGCGGGGGAUCGCAAGACCUCGCGCGAUUGGAGCGGCCGAUGUCAGAUUAGCUAGUUGGUGGGGUAAAGGCCCACCAAGGCGACGAUCUGUAGCUGGUCUGAGAGGACGACCAGCCACACUGGGACUGAGACACGGCCCAGACUCCUACGGGAGGCAGCAGUGGGGAAUUUUGGACAAUGGGCGCAAGCCUGAUCCAGCAAUGCCGCGUGCAGGAAGAAGGCCUUCGGGUUGUAAACUGCUUUUGUACGGAGCGAAAAGGUCUUCCCUAAUACGGGAGGCUGAUGACGGUACCGUAAGAAUAAGCACCGGCUAACUACGUG